GGGCACAUGGUGUAGCUGGUUAUCACGCUCGCUUUGCAUCUGCAAUCCUGCGAGUGGUCUCCGGUUCGAUUCCGGAUGUGUCCA